rnacentral:rRNA from 1 species
UACAGAGGAGCCAAGCGUUGUCCGGAUUGACUGGGCGUAAAGCGCACGCAGGCGGACGCGCGCGUGGGGUGUGAAAUCUGGCCGCUUAACGGCCAGGCGCCAUCCCAUACGGCGCGACUGGAGUGAUGCAGAGGUCGAUGGAAUUGCCGGUGUAGUGGUGAAAUGCGUAGAGAUCGGGCAGGAACACCCCAGGGGGGAAACCAGUCGACUGGGCAUCUACUGACGCUGAGGUGCGAGAGCGUGGGGGAGCGAACCGG